GCGAGGUCAAAAGACCUGACGGAAGCCACGAAGGACAUCUACAGUUUCUGCCUAAGGAGGAACAUCACGCUGCAAGCAGAAUACCUCCCAGGAAUCUCCAACCUGACGGCGGACUGGUUCUCCCGCCACUGGAGAGACACCAGCGACUGGAAACUCAACAGGGAGAUAUUUCAGACACUACGUCAGUGGAUGGGUCCACUAACAAUAGACUUGUUCGCCUCCAGGACCAACCACCAACUACCAAGAUACUACAGUUGGCUUCCGGACCCGAAUGGCGAAGCAGCGGAUGCAUUCCUUCAGGACUGGUGCAUGGAAAGGGAUUCCGAUCCCUUUACUGCCUCUGUCCCACUGAUCCUCAACUAUCUCGCUCAUCUGUUCUCGACGGGUCGAUCAUAUAGAUCCCUUAACGUGAUCAGAUCGUCUAUUUCAGCGGCGCACGUCCCAGUACAAGGCAAGCCAGUGGGUCAAGAUCCUCUGGUAUGUCGUCUACUGCGGGGUGCCAAACUUACAAGACCCCCAGCACCCAAAUAUUCCAGGUGAAUGGGGUGCUGGACUUCCUUCGGGGCUGGCCGGACAACCCCGUUCUAUCGCUGAAACAGCUUUCAGCGAAACUGGCUCUUUUGUUAUGCCUCGUCUCAUUCCGACGGGUGUCAGACGUUAGGGCAUUUGACGUGGACGGCUUUUCUCUCACUCCAGAGGGAGUCACCUUCUCCAUUUCUAGACUGACUAAAUCAGACUCGUCCUCUGUGUCUUAUCCAUAUUUCGAAUCAGACUACAAGCUAUGCAUUGUCAGGACACUUAUGAGGUAUACGGAAAUCACAGCCAACCUUCGGCAUACUCCGGCGGGUCAGCUGCUGAUUUCUUACGUAAGGCCUCACGCACCGGUGUCUACAACAACCCUGGCCAGAUGGGUUCGCUGGCUACUGAGGUUGGCAGGAAUCAAACCUAGCUUUGGAGCAGAUUCGGUCAGAGGUGCGGCAGCAUCCCAAGCCUUCUUGACAGGCGCAUCCCUAACCGACAUUAUGCGUUGCGCAGACUGGACAUGGGAGAGUACGUUUAGGACUUAUUUC